UACGUAGGUGGCAAGCGUUGUCCGGAUUUACUGGGCGUAAAGAGCGCGCAGGCGGUCGUUCAAGUCGCGUGUGAAAGCCCCCGGCUCAACUGGGGAGGGUCACGCGAUACUGAUCGACUCGAAGGCAGGAGAGGGAAGUGGAAUUCCCGGUGUAGUGGUGAAAUGCGUAGAUAUCGGGAGGAACACCUGUGGCGAAAGCGGCUCACUGGACCAUUACUGACGCUGAGGCUCGAAAGCUAGGGGAGCAAACAGG
rnacentral:rRNA from 1 species